rnacentral:rRNA from 1 species
CGAUGAAGCCGGAGCUUGCUCUGGUGGAUUAGUGGCGAACGGGUGAGUAACACGUGAGUAACCUGCCCUUGACUCUGGGAUAAGCGUUGGAAACGACGUCUAAUACCGGAUACGAGCUGGGACCGCAUGGUCACUAGCUGGAAAGAACUUCGGUCAAGGAUGGACUCGCGGCCUAUCAGCUUGUUGGUGAGGUAACGGCUCACCAAGGCGACGACGGGUAGCCGGCCUGAGAGGGUGACCGGCCACACUGGGACUGAGACACGGCCCAGACUCCUACGGGAGGCAGCAGUGGGGAAUAUUGCACAAUGGGCGAAAGCCUGAUGCAGCAACGCCGCGUGAGGGACGACGGCCUUCGGGUUGUAAACCUCUUUUAGCAGGGAAGAAGCGAAAGUGACGGUACCUGCAGAAAAAGCACCGGCUAACUACGUGCCAGCAGCCGCGGUAAUACGUAGGGUGCAAGCGUUGUCCGGAAUUAUUGGGCGUAAAGAGCUCGUAGGCGGUUUGUCGCGUCUGCUGUGAAAACGCGAGGCUCAACCUCGCGCCUGCAGUGGGUACGGGCAAACUAGAGUGCGGUAGGGGAGAUUGGAAUUCCUGGUGUAGCGGUGGAAUGCGCAGAUAUCAGGAGGAACACCGAUGGCGAAGGCAGAUCUCUGGGCCGUAACUGACGCUGAGGAGCGAAAGCAUGGGGAGCGAACAGGAUUAGAUACCCUGGUAGUCCAUGCCGUAAACGUUGGGAACUAGAUGUAGGGACCAUUCCACGGUUUCUGUGUCGCAGCUAACGCAUUAAGUUCCCCGCCUGGGGAGUACGGUCGCAAGACUAAAACUCAAAGGAAUUGACGGGGGCCCGCACAAGCGGCGGAGCAUGCGGAUUAAUUCGAUGCAACGCGAAGAACCUUACCAAGGCUUGACAUAUAGA